GGCAGCACGAUGUAGCAAUACAUUGGUGGCGACCGGCGCACGGGUGAGUAACGCGUAUGCAACCUACCUAUCAGAGGGGAAUAACCCGGCGAAAGUCGGACUAAUACCGCAUAAAACAGGGGUUCCACAUGGAAAUAUUUGUUAAAGAAUUAUCGCUGAUAGAUGGGCAUGCGUUCCAUUAGAUAGUUGGUGAGGUAACGGCUCACCAAGUCCACGAUGGAUAGGGGUUCUGAGAGGAAGGUCCCCCACACUGGUACUGAGACACGGACCAGACUCCUACGGGAGGCAGCAGUGAGGAAUAUUGGUCAAUGGGCGAGAGCCUGAACCAGCCAAGUCGCGUGAAGGAUGAAGGAUCUAUGGUUUGUAAACUUCUUUUAUAUGGGAAUAAAGUGAGGAACGUGUUCCUUUUUGUAUGUACCAUAUGAAUAAGCAUCGGCUAACUCCGUGCCAGCAGCCGCGGUAAUACGGAGGAUGCGAGCGUUAUCCGGAUUUAUUGGGUUUAAAGGGUGCGUAGGUGGUUAAUUAAGUCAGCGGUGAAAGUUUGUGGCUCAACCAUAAAAUUGCCGUUGAAACUGGUUGACUUGAGUAUAUUUGAGGUAGGCGGAAUGCGUGGUGUAGCGGUGAAAUGCAUAGAUAUCACGCAGAACUCCGAUUGCGAAGGCAGCUUACUAAACUAUAACUGACACUGAAGCACGAAAGC
rnacentral:rRNA from 1 species